UGGCCGGGGGUGGGCGCACAAGGAAGCCAAUCAGCCAGCAGGGCUCCAGAAGGGGCUGAGCCCCCAAGUUCCAUGUUUCUUAACCCCCAGGUUCUUGACUUUCUUCUGCGCCCUGUUUGGGAGCUAGGUUCGCAUCAGGAUGCACCAUGCAGCCCUGGACUUGGUUCCACCCAUGCCCCGUUGAAGCGGUGGAGGGUUAGACUCACCUACAACUCCCGUGAGAAAUCGCGAGACACUUCGGUCUGUGGUCUCCCAUCAGCCUCUGCUCCACCUCCCAGCAGCCCACAUGUCCCCUAGGAGGAAACUUUUCGUGAAUCUUUGAUUUGUCAUGAUGAGGAAAAUCCCUACUUAUGCAAAUAAAUA